GACGUAGGGCGCGAGCGUUGUCCGGAUUUAUUGGGCGUAAAGAGCUCGUAGGCGGCUUGUCGCGUCGACCGUGAAAACUUGGGGCUCAACCCCAAGCCUGCGGUCGAUACGGGCAGGCUAGAGUUCGGUAGGGGAGACUGGAAUUCCUGGUGUAGCGGUGAAAUGCGCAGAUAUCGGGAGGAACACCGGUGGCGAAGGCGGUUCUCUGGGCCUGUACUGACGCUGAGGAGCGAAAGCGUGGGGAGCGAACAGG
rnacentral:rRNA from 1 species